UUACCACACAGUCCGCGAGUGUUCCCA
rnacentral:piRNA from 1 species